UACGGAGGUGGCAAGCGUUGCUCGGAAUCACUGGGCGUAAAGGGCGCGUAGGCGGGGAGGUAAGUCGGGUGUGAAAUCCCUCGGCCCAACCGAGGAACUGCGCCCGAGACUGCUUCUCUUGAGUCCCGGAGAGGAAGAUGGCAAUUCCCGGUGUGCGGUGAAAUGUGUAGAGAUCGGGAGGAACACCGGUGGCGAAGGCGGUCUUCUGGACGGUGACUGACGCUGAGGCGCGAAAGCGUGGGGAGCAAACGGGG
rnacentral:rRNA from 1 species